GCUGAAACACCGGUUCUCGUACGAUCACCGAAGUUAAGCAGCGUAGAGCCAGGUCAGUACUUAGAUGGGGACCGCUUGGGAACACCUGGUACUGUAAG
rnacentral:rRNA from 1 species